rnacentral:rRNA from 1 species
UUCCGGUUGAUCCUGCCGGACCCCACUGCUAUCGAGAUGGGACUAAGGUAUGCUAGUCGAACGACCAGAACUAUGUCUGGAAGUGGCACACUGCUCAGUAACACGUAGCUAACCUACCCUUAGGACGUGGAUACCCCCGAGAAAUUGGGGUUAAUCCGCGAUAGAUGUAAUGUCCUGGAAUGGUAUUACGUCUAAAGGUAUUUCAUACAUGUUUGAAAUAUGCCUAAGGAUGGGGCUGCGGCCGAUCAGGCUGUUGGUGAGGUAAUGGCUCACCAAACCUUUGACCGGUACGGGCCAUGAGAGUGGUAGCCCGGAGAUGGACACUGAGACAAGGGUCCAGGCCCUAAGGGGCGCAGCAACCGCGAAACCUCCACAAUGCACUCACGUGCGAUGGGGCUAUCUCGAGUGCCACCUGAUGAAGGUGGCUUUUCCUAGGUCUUCAAAGCCUUGGGAAUAAGAGGGGGGCAAGACUGGUGUCAGCCGCCGCGGUAACACCAGCCCCUCGAGUGGUGGGGAUGAUUAUUUGGCCUAAAGCGUCCGUAGCCGGCCGAGCAAGUCUUCCGUUAAAUCCAGCGUCUCAAGCGUUGGACCGCGGGAGAUACUACACGGCUAGAGAGUGGGAGAGGUCAGCGGUAUUCUGGGGGUAGGGGCGAAAUCCUUUGAUCCCCGGAGGACCACCAGUGGCGAAGGCUGCUGACUAGAACACGUCUGACGGUCAGGGACGAAAGCGGGGGUAGCGAACCGGAUUAGAUACCCGGGUAGUCCCAGCCGUAAACGAUGCAUGCUAGGUGUUGGGUUGGCCACGAGCCACCCCAGUGCCGCAGGGAAGCCGUUAAGUUUGCCGCCUGGGAAGUACGUACGCAAGUAUGAAACUUAAAGGAAUUGGCGGGGGAGCACCACAAGGGGUGAAGCCUGCGGUUCAAUUGGAGUCAACGCCGGG